rnacentral:tRNA from 1 species
UGGGAUGUGGCUCAGUGGUAGAGCACUUGCCUAGCAUGUGUGAGAGACACUGGGUUCGAUUCUCAGCACCACAU